rnacentral:misc_RNA from 1 species
GCGUAAGAUGGGUAAAAGGGAACGGUGAGUCAUCGAAUCUUUGAACGCACAUUGCGCCCCUUGGUAUUCCGGGGGGCAUGCCUGUUCGAGCGUCAUUUAUACCAAUCUAGCCUGGCUAGGUGUUGGGCCUCGCCGUCUGGCGGGCCUUAAAACUAGUGGCGGUGCUCUUCAGCUCUACGCGUAGUAAUUUUCUCGCUAUAGGGUCUGGGGAGAUGCUUGCCAGCAACCCCAAAUUUUUCUAGGUUGACCUCGGAUCAGGUAGGGAUACCCGCUGAACUUAAGCAUAUCAAUAAGCGGAGG